rnacentral:rRNA from 1 species
UUAGGAAUAUUGGACAAUGGGCGAAAGCCUGAUCCAGCCAUGCCGCGUGUGUGAUGAAGGCCCUAGGGUUGUAAAGCACUUUCGUUGGGGAUGAUAAUGACCGUACCCAAAGAAGAAGCACCGGCUAACUUCGUG